GCAUCUGUGGUUCAGUGGUAGGAUGCUCGCUUGCCAUGUGGGCGGUCAGGGUUAGAUUCCCGGCCGAUGCA
rnacentral:tRNA from 1 species